rnacentral:lncRNA from 1 species
AAACGGAACAAAUGAAACAUAUUUAAUGUGCAAAAGCUAUCUGUGGUCACUUAGUGUAAUCUCUCUCUCCGCUUACUGAAAAGUAUUCCACAAUGCGGCAUUCAGUUGCAAAUCAUUUCUGAGACAAACAGGCAGCACUGCUAUUCCACAAAGCAGCAUGCAUAGAAUCUAUAAGUUAAUUCUUUUCGUCGGGAUUUGGUUGGCAAUCUUGAGUUUGUCAUAUGGACAAGCAGCUUGGGACUCGGACUCGGACUCAGACAUGUUUCGUAGCUUCACAGCAACUGGAAAUGGAUGUCGCAUGAUUAAUUCGCUUGGUCGGUGCAGGAGAUUUUAAAAAUGUGUUAAUAAAUAUGGCAUUCAUCGGAUCACCAACAAUUUAGAAAAUUUUUUUUUUUUUUUUUUUUUUUCUCUCUCUUUAUAUUUACAAUCUGUUUUUAAACAAUAAGUAAAUUGUAUAAUUAAUAUUCAAUUAACAGAAAUAGCAGUUUUCCAAUGAGCCCUGCUAUUAUAUAUAACAUCUUUUUAGUUUGUUAAAUUUAUCUAUCAGGGAUAUCGAGAAUGUGGUAUCGAGAAUGAAUUUAGAAAAUAAAUGCAAAAUAUUUCCAGGAUCAUUACAGGUUAUUCUCAAAUGAAUGAAUGAAUGAUUGAAUAUUUUCUGAUCGAUACAUGUUCAAAGUAUUCUCUUAUCAGUUGAUUGAUUUACAUGUAACAUAUUUAAUGUGCGAAAGCUAUCUGGGGUCACUUAGUGAAAUCUCUCUCUCUGCUUACUGAAUAAAAUUCCUCGAACUAGCAUUCAGUUGCAAAUCAUUUCUGAGACACACAGGGAGCACUAUUAUUCCAUAAAGCAGCAUGCAUAGAAUCUAUAAGUUAAUACUUUUCGUCGGGAUUUUGUUAGCAAUCUUGAGUUUGUCAUAUGGACAAAUGAAUUUGGAACCAGACUUCGGCUAUAACUGGAUUUCAACUGGAAAUGGAUGUAGAAGGAUUAAUUGGCUGGGUCGAUGCUUGAGAAUUUAGAAAUGUGUAAAUAAAUAUGUCAUUAAUUCGAUCAGCAACAAUCUAACCAUUUAAAUGUUAUGUAAUAUCUAGAAAACAAAUGGAAAAUAUUUCAUUUAGGAAAGUGUUUUUAAACCUCUUCUGUUUUCACUGAGUAAUCUAAGUAACCCAUGAAUGAAUAAAUGAUUGAACCUUCCUUAAUUCUGUACCAUAUGUGUAGGAAAUGCACUGCCAUAGGCUAUCAGUGGUCGGUGGCUGUAAUCUCUCGAAUGAAUGUUGUUGUUUAUUCAAUUCUGUAUUGCAUGCACGGCCCCAAUGGUGCACUCAGUUGUGCGUGGAUUCUAGAGCUGUCAACGAUAAAGCAGAAACCUUCCAGUCAAAUGCAUAUUUUGUGGAAACUUGUUUGGCUUUCCUUAGUUAUUAUUUUGCAAUUUGAUUCCAAUUUGAAUCGUGCUUUUGCAAAUGUUUGUCGGCACAGAAAUCGACUAGGAAAAUGUAUAAGAACUGCACAUAAGUAUAGUAGAUAAUCGUAAUGGAACAUAUGAAUAAUAUAAAGCCUAAUAGAACAAUCUUCUUGUUCCAUAAAGUUCUUGAAAUACUCUAACCAAAAAAACAAGGUUUAACGGGAGUGAUGACUCCCUGAAAGGAAAGGCUAUCUCUGGGGUCGUCUGCAAAUCUUUCGAUGCAUCUGUAGUCGAUUAUUGCCUGCUGAUCGGAACAAUCUCGUCGUGAAUCGCAUCGGGAUAUUGGCAGUGUUCUUCAGCUACUUUUGCACCAUUGCAUUUUCUACAGACAUCCACUCGCAAAACUGCCUAGAUCUAUGUAAUGAUUACAAUUGGCAGGGUGAAUGCUUUACGCCAGGCUCAACAUCUCUCUCGCAAUUGGAUUCAAGUGAAAUGAAGUGCAUAAUACAACUCAUGAAAAGUGUGUCGAAUAAUAAAUAUAAAUAAAUAAUUAAAUAAAGAUUUCAUGCUUGAUUUCAUUCAUUUACUUUCUAUUUAUUCACAGAUUGUUGACCUUCCCUUAUGUGUAUUUUAUUGUCUUGGCCAAUCAGC